rnacentral:rRNA from 1 species
UACCUGCAGCCCGAGUGGUGGCCGUUAUUAUUGGGCCUAAAACGUCCGUAGCCGGCUGAGUAGAUGCCUGUGUAAAUCGCACGGCUUAACCGUUCGAACUGCGGGUAGACCGCUCAGCUUGGGACCGGGAGAGUCACGAAGUACUCCGGGGGUAGAGGUGAAAUUCUGUAAUCCUCGGGGGACUACCGGUGGCGAAGGCGUCGUGAUAGAACGGCUCCGACGGUGAGGGACGAAGCCCUGGGGCGCAAACCGG